CUUGAAAUGGGCUGAGUCCCUCUUGCUCACCCUUGACUUGGAAAAACCAGUUUCUCUUUUAUUGUCUGUUACUAAUCUCUAUUCUAAAAAUUCAGCUCAAUUCUCAACCAUACUCCAAACUCUCUCUUUUCCAGCUACCUUUACUCCCUCUCCUUCAAUUCCACUUUCCUCUGCUUACUUUUUUUUUUUUUCUGACAGGGUCUCACUUUGUCGCCCGGGCAGGAGUGCAGUGGCUCAAUCUUGGGCUCACUGCAGCCUCAACCUCCCAGAGGCGGGGUUUCACCAUGUUGCCCAGACUGGUCUUGAACUCCUGAGCUUAAGCAAUCCACCUGCCUCGGCCUCCCAAAGUGUUGGGAUCACAGGCGUGAGCCACCGCAUCCGGCCUCAUGUUCUUUUUCAUUAAAGAGAGAAAUCAACUAUUCAGGACCGGCCCCCACCUUUCCUCAGGAGUCAUUUCUGUUCCGCACAGGCCUGCUGAACUGGGUGCUUUAUAUAGGACACUGUCAUCUCUCAAGUACCCAUCUUGGAGGGUACGGACCCCACAUGAGGGUGAGGCUCUCUGCACACUCCAGAAAAGGACCAACCACACCGAGCUCAGUUAUGGCACACACAGUGGGACCUAGACAAAGGGAGAGGGUGACCGACAUCCCAACUAGAUUUCAGUGGAGUGAAGUUCAGGAGGCAUGGAGCUGACAACCAUGAGGCCUCGGCAGCCACCGCCACCACCGCCGCCGCCACCACCGUAGCAGCAGCAGCAGCAGCAGCAGCAGCAGCAGCAGCAGCAAGAGUAACUCUGACUUAGGAAUAGAGACAGCCAGAGAGAAAUGUGAUCAAUGAAGGAGACAUCUGGAGUGUGCGUGCUUCUUCAGAGGGACGGGUGAUGGGCAGAUUGGAAAAAGCACCGCAGAUGGGAACCUUAAUCUUUCUUUUCUAAAAUUGAUGCUAUGAAAAUUUGCGUUUUCUGUAACUUGUAAAAACUAAAAGUUGCUU
rnacentral:lncRNA from 10 species